rnacentral:rRNA from 1 species
UACGAAGGUGGCAAGCGUUGUUCGGAUUUACUGGGCGUACAGGGAGCGUAGGCGGUUGGAUAAGCCCUCCGUGAAAUCUCCAGGCUUAACCUGGAAAGUGCAGAGGGGACUGUUCAGCUAGAGGAUGGGAGAGGAGCGCGGAAUUCCCGGUGUAGCGGUGAAAUGCGUAGAGAUCGGGAGGAACAUCAGUGGCGAAGGCGGCCAUCUGGGACAACACUGACGCUGAAGCACGAAAGCGUGGGGAGCAAACAGG